rnacentral:tRNA from 1 species
GGAGGGAUGGCUCAGUGGUUAAGAGCACUGGGGGCUCUUCCACAGGACCUGGGUUCAAUUCCCAGUUCCCA